ensembl:lncRNA
GCUGCAUUCAAGGUUCAUGGACCAACAUUAAGGUUUUUAUUUUCUUCAAGUAAGUUAAACCAGUGUGUUGCUAUGGAUGAAAGUGGAAUAAGAAAGAGAAAGAAGUCACAGAAUGGCUCCACUGACCUUACCAAAGACAACAAGGAGGUGGUGAAGGCCAUUGCUCUUCAAAAAGAUGUAGGACCCUUCUGGGAGGCUGUCUCACAUUUGAAGCAUAAAUCUAAAAGGUGACCACACCUUAGGCUUUGGAAUGACCUACCUGAAGAGAUAAGGCUUGGAAAAUCAGUUUUUAUGUUUUUAUGUGAUAUUGCUUUUUUAUUGCCUCUUAAUUGUGCUGCAUGUCUUCUUUUAUUAUAUCGGCAUUACAGUCAUGGUGAACGCAACCCUCCAUGAAUUCUAAUUCAAGACAGUAAAAAACAAAAAAUUCAGUCCUUACUAGGUACUAAAAUGUUUUAAAUAA